CCAGACUCCUACGGGAGGCAGCAGUGGGGAAUAUUGCACAAUGGGGGAAACCCUGAUGCAGCGACGCCGCGUGAGCGAUGAAGUAUUUCGGUAUGUAAAGCUCUAUCAGCAGGGAAGAAAAUGACGGUACCUGACUAAGAAGCCCCGGCUAACUACGUGCCAGCAGCCGCGGUAAUACGUAGGGGGCAAGCGUUAUCCGGAUUUACUGGGUGUAAAGGGAGCGUAGACGGCGAUGCAAGCCAGAUGUGAAAGCCCGGGGCUCAACCCCGGGACUGCAUUUGGAACUGUAUAGCUAGAGUGUCGGAGAGGCAGGCGGAAUUCCUAGUGUAGCGGUGAAAUGCGUAGAUAUUAGGAGGAACACCGGCGGCGAAGGCGGCCUGCUGGACCGUAACUGACGUUGAGGCUCGAAAGCGUGGGGAGCAAACAGGAUUAGAUACCCCUGUAG
rnacentral:rRNA from 1 species